rnacentral:rRNA from 1 species
UACGAAGGGGGCUAGCGUUGCUCGGAAUCACUGGGCGUAAAGCGCACGUAUGCGGCUUGUUAAGUCAGGGGUGAAAUCCUGGAGCUCAACUCCAGAACUGCCUUUGAUACUGGCGAGCUUGAGUUCGGGAGAGGUGAGUGGAACUGCGAGUGUAGAGGUGAAAUUCGUAGAUAUUCGCAAGAACACCAGUGGCGAAGGCGGCUCACUGGCCCGAUACUGACGCUGAGGUGCGAAAGCGUGGGGAGCAAACAGG